rnacentral:rRNA from 1 species
UACGUAGGGUGCAAGCGUUGUCCGGAAUUAUUGGGCGUAAAGAGCUCGUAGGCGGUUUGUCGCGUCUGCUGUGAAAACGCGAGGCUCAACCUCGCGCCUGCAGUGGGUACGGGCAGACUAGAGUGCGGUAGGGGAGAUUGGAAUUCCUGGUGUAGCGGUGGAAUGCGCAGAUAUCAGGAGGAACACCGAUGGCGAAGGCAGAUCUCUGGGCCGUAACUAGACGCUGAGGAGCGAAAGCGUGGGGAGCGAACAGG